GCCGGUGUAGCUCAGAGGCAAGAGCGCACGGCUCAUACCCGUGUCGUCUAGGGUUCGAGUCCCUACACCGGCA
rnacentral:tRNA from 1 species